rnacentral:RNase_P_RNA from 1 species
CGUGCAAACCGUUCUAUCGCUCUGCAUUUAUUUGUGGUGAGGAAAGUCCGGGCUCCAUAGGGCAAUGCAGCGGGUAACACCCGUCAUUCAGCACAUAGUUUAUGUGCUGGAAGGACCAGUGCAACAGAAAGAAUGUACGACUCGGGUCUUAGGAUUCGUGGGCUGUAGUGAAAUCAGGUAAACUCUGCGUGGAGCAAGACCAAAUAAAGGGAGAGAAGCGGCCCGCUUCGUUGCCUGCCUUGCGGCAGGUAAAAUCCCAGGGUAGGUUGUUAGAUCUUGCCAGUAAUGGCAAGGCCAGACAAAUGAUAGAAACCCAGAAGUAGCGCUUGCGCACGCUUGUGGGAACAGAACCCGGCUUAUAGGUUUGCUAAUAAU